rnacentral:rRNA from 1 species
UAGAGUUUGAUCCUGGCUCAGGGCGAACGCUAGCGGUGCGUCUAACACAUGCAAGUCGAGCGAGAAAUUUUCUUUAGCUUGCUAAAGAAAAUGAAAAGCGGCGAACGGGUGAGGAAUAUGUUGACAUCUACCCCCAAGUCAGGGAUAGCCCAAGGAAACCUGGAUUAAUACCGGAUAGUCUCUACGGAGUAAAAAUUUAUUGCUUGGGGAGGAGUCUUCAUUCUAUCAGCUUGUUGGUAAGGUAAUGGCUUACCAAGGCUAUGACGGAUAACUGGUCUGAGAGGAUGAUCAGUCACAAUGGAACUGAGAUACGGUCCAUACUCCUACGGGAGGCAGCAGUGAGGAAUCUUCCACAAUGGACGAAAGUCUGAUGGAGCGACACCGCGUGAAGGAUGAAGGUCUAACGAUUGUAAACUUCUUUUCUGAAGGAGCAUAAUGAGAGUACUUCAGGAAUAAGGGACGGCUAAUUACGUGCCAGCAGCCGCGGUAAUACGUAAGUCCCAAGCGUUGCCCGGAAUUACUGGGUGUAAAGGGUUUGUAGGUGGGUUGAUAAGUUGGAUAUGAAAGACCGGAGCUUAACUCCGUGUUUGUCUCCAAAACUGUUAAUCUAGAAUCAGGGAGAGGUAAGCGGAAUUCUAAGUGUAGGGGUGCAAUCCGUAGAUACUUAGAAGAACACCAAAAGCGAAGGCAGCUUACUGGAACUGUAUUGACACUGAGGAACGAAAGCGUGGGUAGCGAAAAGGAUUAGAUACCCUUGUAGUCCACGCCCUAAACGAUGAUAACUAGGUGUUGGGAAUAUUCUCAGUGCCGUAGCUAACGCGUUAAGUUAUCCACCUGAGGAGUACGG